CGGGGAAGGCCAUGCAUCAUCUGCUACCCUGGAGGAUCUGGAGCCAGUACCGAGAACUAGCAGUGGCCCUGCACUCAAGCUCCGCAAUAAUCAGUCAACUCAGUGAAAACAUCAAUUCACUGCUGAACCCCUGGCCCCAGAGCCCCCAGCAGGGCCCUCUGAGGUGGAGCAGCUACAAGAUGAGACCAACCACCUAAGGAAGGAGCUGGAGAGUGUGGGAAGACAGCUCCAGGCUGAGGUGGAAAACAAUCAGAUGUUGAGUCUCCUGAACAGGAGACAGGAGGAGAGGCUGCAGGAACAGGAGAGGCUGCUGGACAAGGGGUAGGAGCUGCUGGAACAGGAGAGGCUUCAGGAGCAGGAUGAGAGGCUGUGGCAGCAGGAGACUCUGUGGGAGCUGGAGAGGAUGCUGGAGCUGGAGUGGGAAGCCCUCUACAAGCAGCAGGCCGAGCCCCACAGCAGCUUUGAGGAGCUGGUAAUAAUGAGAACAAGAGUGCACUGCAGUUGGAGCGGCAAGUAAAGGAGCUGAAGCUUGGAGAACCUGGAAGCUACCAGCCAGCAGAAACAGCAGCUAAAGCCCAGUUGAGCCUCAUGGCUCUCCCUGGGGAAGGAUAUGGAGGAGGACAUCUGGACAAUGAGGAGGAGGCACCUCGGCCCAUGCUGAACAUUCCAGGGGACCUGGAGAGCCGGGAGGCCAUGGUGGCAUUUUUCAACUCCGCUGGAGCCAGUGCCCAGGAGGAGCAAAGCGUGUGCUGCCAGCCCCUGGCUCACCCAGUGGCCUCAUCCCAGAAAAAGCCAGAGGCAGCGGCCCCAGCCCCAGAGACUGGGGGUGAAUCUGUGUGUGGGGACACCCACUGGGCCCUGCAGGAGGCCAUGGAGAAGCUGCAGCAACUUUAUGGAAGGAGAAGAUGGACCUGAAGGAGCUGGUGGAGAAACUAGAGCUUCAGUUCAUCCACCUCUCAGGACAGACAGACACCAUGAGAAAGUACAUCAGCCAGGGGGCAGUGCCAAAGACGCAGCACUGGGAGAGGAGGACAUCGUCAGGCUGGCCCAGGACCAGGAGGA